CAAAGAGGGCUUAAAGCCUUAUUGAAUUAAAAUUUGAUUGCAGUCCGUUCUGCACGUCCAGCGUAAGCAAAGUGCGCCCAGUGCUGCCACCACGUUUCAGCACGGAGUCUGUAUAAAGCGCUCUGCUAUUGCACGUGCUUCCAGUGCUGCCUGGUGGCUGUGGUGCUCCGGUGCAGGUGCAGCUCCGGCGCGGCGUUAUUCAUCUCGUGCUUUCUGCUGCACGAGUUGCUGCCGAGCCCAUCUCUCGGACCCUCCUGUGCCCACACAGUUAUUUACAAAGGGACUCGUCUGACCUCCUCGCCCUCCUUCCAGCUCUGCUCAGUUGAGAGCAUGAAAGGAGACACAUUUGGUCCUUAUCUAAGCCAUUCUGCUGACCAUUAUAUAAUUAAGAAAACUGUGGCUGUCCCAUCCAGUAAAGAAGAAAAUUCUCCAUCCUCCUCAUGGACCAAAAAGCAGACCUGUUACAAGUGUAACGACUUUAAAUGUCACAAGGUUUUAAAUGCAGUUUGAAAAUCAAACCACAGCUGUUCCUGCCUACAAACAGUGAGAAAAAAUUUUCAUCACUUUCCAGUACUACUUCUAUUGUUGAGUCAUUUACACCUUCUAAAGAAAUUGCAGAACAUGCUGCCUGCUGAUGCCCUCCAGGAGAAGGUGGAGGAGGUUGCUGGUGUGGCACAACCUAUGAGGUGUGGACCAUGUGUGGGGGGCUGCUCAUUGUUCUGGUGAGGCACUUCAGUCAUCUCUUCAGGCUGCUCUUCAGCUCUUGUGCAUGGAGUUGCUGAGCGGUCGGUGUUGGCUGGGUGCUUUCCUCUCAUUGAUGCCAUCUGUACCUAUGGAUGUGUGCUUCAGGACCAAGGACCAGAGUUUUGAGGAAGACGAGAAGAGAGCCAGGACAAGCACUGAUCAGGCCGCAGCAGCGCAGAGGACACAUUCGUUCUUCCCCCAUCCCGCCAUAUUCAUCCACUGGGGUGAGAGACCCAAAUCUUUACUUACAAAGCUGACUUUUGUCAUAUCCUGCCCAGCAUCUAAAUCAGAGCUCUCUCAUUCACCAGUGCUGAUGUUCCCACGGAAGAUGGAUUAAUCUCUUUUUUUUUCUUCCCACUGAUCUGGGGCUUUAGGGAGAGUUGCAGAUAGCAAACAGGAGGGGAUUUAAGCCUUUCUCUUCACCUUUAAAAAAAGCCUGGCACAGCAUUGCUCUCCUAGGAAUAGGCCCACAUUAUUACUGCAGCCACAGCCACAUCAUCAGAGCUACAGUGCUCAGAGUUGUAGAUCAUCAGCCUGCUGUCACAGCCAUGAUGUAUGAUGGAAAAAGCCAUCCAUCUGAAAGUAUGCAGCACAAAGGGCUGGGGCUGGAGCCAUGCAGCAUGGCAGGGCCAAUGUACAGAGCACCAAACACUUUCCAACCCAAACAAGGCACAGAUUUGUGCCUGAUGAACUGAGGUUCAUUAGGAGGAAAAGGGAACAACUUCAAAGCCUCUCACUUGCAGGUGUCCAAAACAGCAAAAUGCAAACGCGCUCACGGAUUGAGAAACAAAUCCAGCUACUGCUUCCUCCACACACACACCUCUUUCCCUUAAAGCUUACAUUUGAUUUUCUUUUCCAGUGUAAAACCUCAAUCAUAUUUACACCAGCUUUAGGAUCUUUACAGACAAAGACAUUUAAGGCUGUGAAAUCUUGGGCGAAAGUAAAAUGAUAUGGUGGAUCAAUCAGCUGAUGCUUCUUCCCUGCACAGCAGGGGACUCCAGCAAACCUCUUGCAUUUUGCGCAGAGACUCAGCUCCAACUGAAUUUUUCCUUUGGCACUAUAAGAGCAAAAAGAUAUUUAAUGAAGGAAGAAAAAAAAAAAAAAAGGAGAGAGUAAGGGAGAAGGAACAAUCAUGAGCCUUUAUGCAUGGCUCCAGGUUCCUCAACUAAAAUGAACUGUUGCUCUUCCAGGAGAGAAACCAUUUCACAUCCAUUAUUCUCUUGCACAACACUCCAAGUGUGGGUGCAGAAAUAGUUUCCACCUAAAAAACCCUCAAAUUAGAAGAACACAUGGCAUGCAUGGAUCACAGAGGUGCAGCCCAGGGUGCUGCUCACCCACACAUGGUUGUCCCAAAUUUUUAACAUCUGUCACCAUGACACAAGCAAAAAAAACACUUUAUGAAAGCAGAUGUUCAGAAAGUUCUGUUUUUUUCCUCUCCAUGUGAGAAAUGCCUCAUUUAAAAAAAACAGAAAUGGUGAUACCUGUAGAGGUAAGGAGCAGGUGAUGCACGAGCAGGCACUUCAGCAGCCCUGCCUUUUGUGCAGCAGCAGAGGGAUGAGUAGUUUAAUUUCAAAUGGCCACAAAGUCAUUUUCAAAACACCUACCUCACUGUAACAUAGCACACUUGAAAUACCACAUUCCCGUUCAUUAAUGGUAAAUUAUGGCACAUACACCCUGCUGUUACUGAGAAUGUCAGUCAGAAAGCCUUUGACAAACACGUCCCCUGCUUGUGGGGAUGAAAGAAAACCAGCAUCUGAGGUGGUGUCCAAUCUAACACCAUUCUUCAGAAACCUGCUGAUAAAUCUGUCAUGGGUGACAUGGAAAAGAAAGAGAACACCAACAACAACAAAGUCAGCAAACUUUGUAUUGGCGGGAUCUUAGAACAGUCACGAGUAUGCGACAGUGUGCGGCUGCGGCUCAGGAGGGCUUUUCAGUUAUUCUGCUUGAAAUUCUGCCCUGUUUGGUGUUUUUUGUUUUGUUUUGUUUUUAAGGUACUUUAUUCUGGGCCAACUCCUGAGAAGAAAACUGGGAGGAAAGAGCUCAAGGAAAGACUUUUUUGCCUAAACAGCCAGGCCAGCAGUUUAUAGAGCCAACAGAAGCACAGUUGCAUUCUGCAUGAGUUGACCAACCAUGGGUGGAACUGUCCCGCUUAAUUCAGAAACUGAGCUUUGGCUAACUGUUAGCCUUAAAUAGACCUAUGUGUAGUUAAAAGUCACUGGUAAGUCUUACUAAAUUAUCUGGGAGGUGAAGAUCCUGUUUACAAAGCACCUUCAGCAACUUGAUUUACGUUGCCUAAAUGGUGCCCACCUCCACUCUGUUUGACUUUUGUGAUUGUAAGGCUGGAGCAACUAUAAUUAAAGAGCAUUUUUGGAGUGAGCACAGCACUAUGCAGCGUAAUGUGACAUUCAGAAUAUAUCAGUGUCACUUCGCACAGGAGUUCUGAUUACUUUUACAUGUGUGCUUCAGCCCUGUCAUUCAUCCCUAGUGAAGCUCAUCUGCCUCAAACCACAGUGUCUCACCUAUGUCAUGUGGUUUCACCCCCUCUAAAAACCUCUGCCAUUUCCAUUUUAAUCAUGUGUUUCAUUCUUAAGGUAAAUAAUUCUAUUUGCAUGUUAAUGAUUCUACUAGCCUAUUGCCUAAUACAAACAGUCCUAAAAUAGGGCAGCUCACCAAUGUGGAAGUGAGACCUAAGUAUCCAGUAAGUAUCGCCCAUUCACACAGCAAGAUGUGUCAGAAAUGGGAAGAGAGAUCUGUAUCUUUUUCCAUGCGAUUCCAGCAGGAGCUGAGACUGCUCUUUGAUUCAGCGAUAAUGAGUGAACAUUGCACCAACGACAUUUACAUUUUUCAGUGGUAAGGAAAACACAAGAACUGUUCUGGGUUCAGAUUCUGGCCCCCAAAUGCACGCUGAUUUCCUGAACUUUGAACCGCCUCCUGAUGUGAACGAACAGCCUGGCAAUUAGCAAAAGGGACAUCAGAUGUGAAAGGUGAAAUAAAAUUUUCAUCAGUUUCUGCGUAUCUGCUUCACUGGGAAACUUUCUGAAAAUAUAUCAGAAGGGCUGUUGGAGGUCCUCUGCCGUGCUGCCACGUGCCGUGUCCAACUAUUAUCCAGGCUCCCUGCUGACUGCUGCUGGAGCAGACUGAACUUUCACAUCAGGGAGGUGGCAAGAUGCAGUUUGGUGUGUGCCUCAGAUGCUGGGCAGGAAGAAGCUAUGCUUUUCCUCUCAUGUGGACCCCUGAAGCCCUC